rnacentral:lncRNA from 1 species
UCAAUUGAAGGCUCUAAUCUGGUCCAAAUCGAAAUCCGAGCACGUAUUAGUGAUCCCCACUGAAAAAGGAGUCACAAGUUUGACUCUAAACAAGCUAGGUGGGAGCUUGGAAAGGAACGGGUCAAACGAAUGAUGGAUGCGAAGGAUGUUUGCGCGAGCGCGAGAUUAUAGACACGACCAAGGUUAUAUCCGAAAUAUGGGUUCCGACACGAAAUGA